rnacentral:misc_RNA from 1 species
UGUAGUGCAAAUAACCAAAAAUUUCAUCGAAGAUGUUACUAUAUUUUCAAAUUAAAUAAUAUGAGAGUUCGCAUCUGGAAUAGUUGCCAGAUUAUCCGAAUAAAGAUUGAGAAUUCUCCAUUUUACAUGAAUCGGAAAACAAAUUAAAUCAUUUUAAGUUUUCCACGAGUUUUCAUUGGCUUUGAUGACCGUUGUGAAUUUUUCCAAUGGCGCAUACACGGCUCAGCUGUGUGCAAUCGCGAUCAAUUUACGUAGAAAAAUAAUGUAUUUUAUAGUAUUUUUAUUCAAUUAGACGGAGUACUGGACACGGUAUUCGUGAUAUUAGGAAAUAUGGACUGCCCAUCCAGUAUUGCAACAGUGCAUAAAUCGUGCUCAUAUUACAUGUAGCCUUUUAUUUUGCAUUGUUUUUGAUGCAUCAAAAAGAAUAUUACAUUUUUGAAGGAAAUUAUUCCUAGCUUCUAAUAGAAGAAAUGGAUGUAGUACGAGAUGAGGACAGGCGCAGGCGCCUGAGGGUGCUGGAGGAACGUAUAAAAGAUCCAAGAAGCAUUACAAAUAUUGAUUGCUUAUUGGAUACAGUCCAAGCCCUGGUGGCUGAUUGUGAUCAUCCCAGUGUAAAACGUAUGAAAAAUAUAGAAGUAUAUAUGAAUAGAUAUGACUCAGUGGCUCAAGAUAUUUGUAAAAUGCGAAUGCGUACAGAUGACUUCACUUUAAUAAAAAUGAUAGGUCGUGGGGCAUUUGGGGAAGUACAAUUAGUACGACAUAAAUCUACACAAAAAGUAUAUGCUAUGAAAUUACUCAGUAAAUUUGAAAUGAUCAAACGUUCAGAUUCAGCUUUUUUUUGGGAAGAACGUGAUAUAAUGGCACAUGCUAAUUCUCAAUGGAUAGUUCAGCUUCAUUUUGCAUUUCAAGACCAAAAAUAUCUUUACAUGGUGAUGGAUUACAUGCCAGGUGGUGAUUUAGUAAACUUAAUGUCAAAUUACGAUGUGCCAGAAAAAUGGGCAAAAUUUUAUUGUGCAGAGGUGGUGCUUGCAUUAGAUGCAAUACAUCUUAUGGGAUUUGUUCAUAGAGAUGUAAAACCAGAUAAUAUGUUACUUGAUAAGUAUGGUCACUUAAAACUUGCAGAUUUUGGUACUUGUAUGAGGAUGGAUGCUGAUGGUCUUGUUCGAUCAGAUACUGCAGUAGGUACACCUGAUUAUAUAUCACCUGAGGUACUUCAAUCUCAGGGUGGUGAAGGUGUAUAUGGAAGAGAGUGUGACUGGUGGUCAGUUGGUGUAUUUUUGUAUGAGAUGCUUGUAGGUGAUACUCCAUUUUAUGCGGAUUCAUUGGUUGGAACGUAUUCAAAAAUUAUGGAUCAUAGAAACUCAUUACAUUUUCCACAAGAAGUUGAUAUUUCCCAUUCUGCCAAGAAUUUGAUAUGUGGUUUUCUUACGGAUAGAACUAAACGCCUCGGAAGAAAUGGUGUGGAAGAAAUAAAAAAUCAUCCUUUCUUUAAAAAUGAUCAAUGGACAUUUGAAAAUUUACGAGAAUGUGUGCCUCCGGUCGUACCAGAACUUUCCGGCGAUGACGAUACCAGCAAUUUCGAGGAUGUUGAUAAAGAAGAUGGACCAGAAGAAAGUUUUCCAGUACCAAAAGCAUUUUCUGGAAAUCAUUUACCUUUUAUUGGUUUUACAUAUUCAGGAGAUUAUCAAUUAAUGGCUUCUAAUGGCAAAGAAUCUGUAGAUGGACUAGAAAACCAUAUCAAUAAUGGUACAAGUGAUGAUAUUAAAAUUUCUCAACUAGAAAAUUUAUUGGAUAAAGAAAAACGACAAGUAGAAUCUUUAGAAUCAAGGCAAAAAGCUUUAACAACACAGUUAGAAGCUAUGACACGUCGGGAAACUGAGUUACGUGAAGAGAUAGGGAGAGCCGAUAAAGAAUUGACUUUAUUGAGACAUAAUUAUAAAGAAGCACAACGUAGAGUAGAGCAUGAAACUGAAUCACGUAGAAAAGCAGAAUCAUUAUUUGGUGAAUUGAAAAAAAAGUUUGACGAGGAGCAGACUAAAAGAGCAAGGGAUGUAAGUAAUUCACAACAAACUUCUGAACGUGUAACUACUUUAGAAAAACAAAUUAAAGAAAUGCAAUCAAAAUUGGAAAGAGAAACAGAAACGGUAACAAGAUUACGAAAACAAGCAACGGAAAUUACUGUCGCUCGUCAAGCUGCAGAACAAAUGGCAAAUGAGUUACAAGUGGCGAGAGCACAGUUACAAGCACAACGAGAUAAUUUACAGCAGGAAGUGGCUACAUUACAAGGGCAAUUGUCGAAAGAGCGUAGUUCUCGAUCACAAGCGUCAUCAUUAACUGUCGAAUUAGAAAGCCGUCUCUCUGCUCUUCAUCUUGAACUCGAACAUAGUCGUGAGAAAGAGGAGAAAGCAAUAAUGGAUAAUAGACAAUUAACUGAAAAAAUUUCAGCAUUGGAGAAAGAAGCUGCAAGUUUAACUCUUGAACUAAAAGCUGCACAAGCUAGGUAUAAUCAAGAAGUAGUUGCUCAUCAAGAAACGGAACGUUCACGCAUAUUAUCCAAAGAAGAAGCUAAUUUGGAAGUUGUUAAAGCAUUACAAGCAAAAUUAAAUGAAGAGAAAAGUGGAAGGCAACGUGCUGAAUUGCUUGCACAAGAAAAAGAAAGACAAACUUCUAUGCUAUCUGUGGAUUAUCGGCAAAUACAACAGCGAUUACAGAAACUGGAGGGUGAGCACAGGCAAGAGGUGGAAAAGGUAAAAGUGCUACAGGGUCAGGUUGAACAAGAACAGCAGAAAAGAAACGUUCUGCAGACUGACUUGGCACAGCAGUCAUCUGAAGCAGGACGAUUACGCGCCAGAGAACAACAGUUAGUUGGUGAAGUUGCUCAGCUAAGGGAAGCAAAACGGCAGAUAGAGGAAGAAUUACAUCACUUGAAAACUCAAAGAAAUGUGGAUCAAUUGCAAACUAAGGAGCUACAAGAACAAUUGGAAGCAGAAGCUUAUUUUUCGACACUUUAUAAAACACAGACGCAAGAACUUCGGGAAGAACUUGAUGAGAAAAUACGAUUACAACAAGAGUUAGAAGAAGAACGCAGGUCUUUGGUACAUCAGUUACAGUUAUCUCUAGCGAGAGGAGAUAGUGAAGCUUUGGCAAGGUCAAUAGCUGAAGAAACUGUGGCAGACCUUGAAAAGGAACGAACAAUGAAGGAAUUAGAAUAUAAAGAUGGAGUAGCUAAACAUCACCAAGAAUUAAAUGCAAAAGAACAAAUUAUAAAUCGGCUUAAGGAUAGUGAAGGUGAACUUAAGAAAAAUGUAGAUCAAUAUCUUAAAGAAAAGGAAGAUUUAAGUAAACGGCUUAAAGAAUUGCAAGAUCAACUUUCUAAAGCACAAUCCAAUGCAGAAGAGAUAGAUAAACUCAGCAGUAAACUGAAAACCGAGCAACUAUUAAAACAACAGGCAGUUAAUAAGUUGGCAGAGAUUAUGAAUAGAAAAGAUUUAUCUUCAAGUGGUAAAUCUAAGAACAAAGCUUCUGCUGCAGAUUUAAGGAAAAAGGAAAAAGAUUGCAGGCGUUUACAACAGGAGCUUACUCAGGAAAGAGAAAAAUAUGGACAGUUGGCAGCUAAGUGGCAAAAAGAUUUACAAGAUUUACAAGCACAAUUGGUGGAGGAAAAUCAAACGAAAUUGAGGUUGCAAAUGGAACUUGAUUCUAAAGAUUCCGAAAUAGAAACAUUACAAAUGAAGAUCGCUUCGCUUAAUUCAGAAACCGCUAGCGUUUCGUCCGUAGAAAAUGACGGGGAAGAUUCUGUUUUGUCGGAACAUGGAACCAUGCGAUUGGAAGGUUGGUUAAACGUGCCAAAUAAACAGAACAUUAAAAGGCACGGAUGGAAAAAACAAUACGUUGUUGUUUCUUCAAAGAAGAUAAUAUUUUACAAUAGCGAGAAUGAUAAACUAAAUGCCGAUCCAGUUUUGAUAUUGGAUUUAAAUAAAGUCUUCCACGUUAGAUCUGUUACUCAGGGUGAUGUCAUCCGAGCCGAUGCCAAAGAUAUUCCGAGAAUUUUUCAGUUAUUGUAUGCUGGUGAAGGCGAAGCAAGGCGUCCUGGUGAUGAAGGAAAUACACUUCCCGGUGUAGAAUUACCACAACUUACGGACAAACCAGGCACGCAGUCAUUAAAAGGUCACGAAUUUGUAUCAAUAUCGUACCACAUGCCGACUACUUGUGAGGUAUGCUCGAAACAGUUGUGGCACAUGUUUCGACCACCGCCAGCACUUGAGUGUCGAAGAUGUCGUAUAAAAGUGCAUAAGGAACAUUUGGACAAAAAGGAGGAUGCCAUAGCACCGUGUAAAUUACAUUAUGAUCCAAACAGCGCUCGCGAACUAUUAAUUCUGGCUGGUAGUCCUGAUGAGCAGAAGUAUUGGGUCGCAAGAUUGUCUAGGCGUGUACAAAAAUGUGGUUAUAAGGCGAACUCGCACGUCGAUGGCACAGGGCAGCGUGUCUCGCCAAGGUAGCGUAGCUGUGCGACUCAACGUAACCGGAGACUAAGUAGUUCUCUUGUAUUGUGGCAUCGCAUGAUUGGGUGUAGCGAGAGAGUCUACGAGAUCCACCUUGAAGCCAUAUUUGUCAGUGCAACAACGAUCCGCG